rnacentral:misc_RNA from 1 species
GAGAGUGAAAUUUGAGAUGUGUUUGCUAUUCGUAACUUGUGUUAAACUCUUGUGUUCGAAAUUUUCCCGCCUUUCAUGUCAAGAGAGCUAUAUUAUUUCACUUUUUAGCUUUCAUAUUUGAUAGAAAUUUUAAUAUUGAAGUUCACAAUCGGUCGUAUCGGGUAGAAUAUUUGACUUGAAUGUAGCUUGCCUUUUUUCUUUCCACUGCGGUGGCCUAUGAUAAUCGUAUCGUAGUGCAACCUCUCCGUUCUUUAUGGUUAGCCAUUUUAAGGCCGGAGACAUCUGAUUAAUAAAUGUUAGAAGAAGCUACGGUCUUGGUUCUCACUAGGAUAUUUCCAACAGUGUUUUCGAUGGUCUACUAUUGAUUGAAUGAUGAACCUCUGGGUUGAAUCAAUGCUAUGGUCCUUGGUGGCAUUAGGAUAUUUCUAACUUUGACAAUUGCAAAGUCACAGUACAGAGGCUGCACAUACUGCAUUUGCAGUUCAAUGAAUUUCCAGCUUGUGGUUGAGCACUUACAAUUGAAAGCCUAAAAUCUAAUCCAUUCUCCAGAUAUUGGGCACGGUAGGAAAGCAUCUAUUGCAUUGGCAUCAAACCUUAAAAGUGC